rnacentral:lncRNA from 1 species
GCUUCUUUCCAAAGAUAGCAGGUGAUUCAGUUAGCCUUAGAGCUCAAAUAUCUCCCUGGAUGCUGCCCUUUACUGUUUGACAAAUGCUAUCUUAAAAGUUCCUCCAGUUACAUCUAUGCUGCAAAAAAAACAAAAAAACAAAAAAACAAAAAAACUUCCUAGAGCAAGUUUAUAUUGAAUUGACAGGAUCUUGGGAUCUUGGGUACUGAGUCCACCUAGUCAUUUUACAGAUGAGAAAUCUAAAGAAUAUAAAAAAAGUCCUGGUUACCCAUAUGUUAUGACACAGCCACGACAAAUAACUGGUCGAAUCGGUUGGUGACCACGCAGCUGAAGCCCUCCUGUAAGUGCCCAGGCAUGAUGGUGGCUCGGCGGCGCGUUCCUCCACGGAUUGCAGCGGGCCGCGCCGAACCAAGAGCGCCUGCUUCAGCUCUUCCCACAAGAUGGCCGGGCCGAGAGAGGGGGGCCGUCUUCUCUUCCGGCGCCAGGCACACAUCCGGGAGCGGCCUGCGCCGCAAGGCACUGUGGGGUAUGUAGGCCAGAGUCAUUUCUCAUGAGGCGACUCUCCGCGCCGGGACUACAAUUCCCAGGACGCACCGCGCGACAACUCUUCGCGCGCGCCUGAGAGGCGGGACCCCAUGAAGGGAGUGAAGCGUGCGGGCUGAAGGAAGGGAAGCGUGGUGGUGGGCGGAGUCCUGCCACCUGCUCUGGCCACCCUUAAACUCUCUAGGUCUUCAGCUACCCUGAAACCAAAAAACCGUGACGGCGUAACUGACUCGCGAAAGUGCUCUUUGGUUUCACUCACGCCCCCUCGGGCUCAGGGCUAACUUUCCCCACGGCUCCAGGGGGGUCAAGGUGACUCCCAGACCUUACAUCUGAGACGCACAAACUUCCGGGGGAGGGGGUGUUGCUGAGGCGCCGCGCCGGCCGCGGGUAGGCUGGACCCUACCUGUGCCAAGUCCGAGCUGCUCAGUUGCUGGAGUGGCCCUCCGUCAGCCUCCACGGUGAAUCGAGGCUCUUCUGCCUAAUGUGAGGGGGAAUACGUUUCCUCUAGCGGGGAC